rnacentral:rRNA from 1 species
UACGGGGGGGGGAAGCGUUGUUCGGAAUUACUGGGCGUAAAGGGCUCGUAGGCGGCCAACUAAGUCAUACGUGAAAUCCCUCAGCUUAACUGGGGAACUGCGUGUGAUACUGGAUGGCUUGGAUUUGGGAGAGGGAUGCGGAAUUCCAGGUGUAGCGGUGAAAUGCGUAGAGAUCGGGAGGAACACCAGAGGCGAAGGCGGCGACCUGGACAGUUACUGACACUCAACUACGAAAGCGUGGGGAGCAAACAGG